GCCAAAACAAACACUUUUCAUAACAACAAGCCAAACUCAUCAAAAGAACACUAAAACAACAGCUUAUCGCAUUCAUGCCAUUACAUAUGCUCAAAAACGUUCAAACUCGCCAAAACAAACACUUUUCGUAACACCAAGCCAAACUCAUCAAAAGAACACUAAAACAACAGCUUAACACAAGGGAUUACUAAUUCAACACAUUCAUGCCAUUACACAUGCUCAAAAACCUUCAAACUGGCCAAAACGAACAAUGUUCAUAACAACAAGCCAAACUCAUCAAAAGAACACUAAAACAACAGCUUAACGCAUUCAUGCCAUUACACAUGCUCAAAAACGUUCAAACUCUCCAAAACAAACACUUUUCAGAACAACAAUCUAAACUCAUCAAAAGAACACUAAAACAACGGCUUAACGCAUUCAUGCCAUUACACAUGCUCAAAAACGUUCAAACUCUCCAAAACAAACACUUUUCAUAACAACAAGCCAAACUCAUCAAAAGAACACUAAAACAACAGGUUAACGCAUUCAUGCCAUUACACAUGCUCAAAAACGUUCAAACUCGCCAAAACAAACACUUUUCAUAACAACAAGCCAAACUCAUCAAAAGAACACUGAAACAACGGCUUAACGCAUUCAUGCCAUUACACAUGCUCAAAAACGUUCAAACUCGCCAAAACAAACACUUUUCAUAACAACAAGCCAAACUCAUCAAAAGAACACUAAAACAACAGCUUAACACAAGGGAUUACUAAUUCAACACAUUCAUGCCAUUACACAUGCUCAAAAACCUUCAAACUAGCCAAAACAAACACUUUUCAUAACAACAAGCCAAACUCAUCAAAAGAACACUAAAACAACGGCUUAACGCAUUCAUGCCAUUACACAUGCUCAAAACGUUCAAACUCGCCAAAACAAACACUUUUCAGAACAACAAUCUAAACUCAUCAAAAGAACACUAAAACAACGGCUUAACGCAUUCAUGCCAUUACACAUGCUCAAAAACGUUCAAACUCGCCAAAACAAACACUUUUCAUAACAACAAGCCAAACUCAUCAAAAGAACACUAAAACAACGGCUUAACGCAUUCAUGCCAUUACACAUGCUCAAAAACGUUCAAACUCGCCAAAACAAACACUUUUCAGAACAACAAGCCAAGCUCAUCAAAAGAACACUAAAACAACGGCUUAACGCAUUCAUGCCAUUACACAUGCUCAGAAACGUUCAAACUCGCCAAAACAAACACUUUUCAUAACAACAAGCCAAACUCAUCAAAAGAACACUAAAACAACGGCUUAACACAAGGGAUUACUAAUUCAACACAUUCAUGCCAUUACACUUGCUAAAAAACCUUCAAACUGGCUAAAACGAACAAUGUUCAUAACAACAAGCCAAACUCAUCAAAAGAAAACUAAAACAACAGCUUAACGCAUUCAUGCCAUUACACAUGCUCAAAAACGUUCAAACUCGCCAAAACAAACACUUUUUCGUAACAACAAGCCAAACUCAUCAAAAGAACACUAAAACAACGGCUUUACACAAGGGAUUACUAAUUCAACACAUUCAUGCCAUUACACAUGCUCAAAAACGUUCAAACUCGCCAAAACAAACAAUGUUCAUAACAACAAGCCAAACUCAUCAAAAGAACACUAAAACAACAGCUUAACGCAUUCAUGCCAUUACACAUGCUCAAAAACGUUCAAACUCGCCAAAACAAACACUUUUCAUAACAAGCCAAACUCAUCAAAAGAACACUGAAACAACGGCUUAACGCAUUCAUGCCAUUACACAUGCUCAAAAACGUUCAAACUCGCCAAAACAAACACUUUUCAUAACAACAAGCCAAACUCAUCAAAAGAACACUAAAACAACAGCUUAACACAAGGGAUUACUAAUUCAACACAUUCAUGCCAUUACACAUGCUCAAAAACCUUCAAACUAGCCAAAACAAACACUUUUCAUAACAACAAGCCAAACUCAUCAAAAGCACACUAAAACAACGGCUUAACGCAUUCAUGCCAUUACACAUGCUCAAAACGUUCAAACUCGCCAAAACAAACACUUUUCAGAACAACAAUCUAAACUCAUCAAAAGAACACUAAAACAACGGCUUAACGCAUUCAUGCCAUUACACAUGCUCAAAAACGUUCAAACUCGCCAAAACAAACACUUUUCAUAACAACAAGCCAAACUCAUCAAAAGAACACUAAAACAACGGCUUAACGCAUUCAUGCCAUUACACAUGCUCAAAAACGUUCAAACUCGCCAAAACAAACACUUUUCAGAACAACAAGCCAAGCUCAUCAAAAGAACACUAAAACAACGGCUUAACGCAUUCAUGCCAUUACACAUGCUCAGAAACGUUCAAACUCGCCAAAACAAACACUUUUCAUAACAACAAGCCAAACUCAUCAAAAGAACACUAAAACAACGGCUUAACACAAGAGAUUACUAAUUCAACACAUUCAAGCCAUUACACUUGCUAAAAAACCUUCAAACUGGCUAAAACGAACAAUGUUCAUAACAACAAGCCAAACUCAUCAAAAGAAAACUAAAACAACAGCUUAACGCAUUCAUGCCAUUACACAUGCUCAAAAACGUUCAAACUCGCCAAAACAAACACUUUUUCGUAACAACAAGCCAAACUCAUCAAAAGAACACUAAAACAACGGCUUUACACAAGGGAUUACUAAUUCAACACAUUCAUGCCAUUACACAUGCUCAAAAACGUUCAAACUCGCCAAAACAAACAAUGUUCAUAACAACAAGCCAAACUCAUCAAAAGAACACUAAAACAACAGCUUAACGCAUUCAUGCCAUUACACAUGCUCAAAAACGUUCAAACUCGCCAAAACAAACAAUGCUCAUGACAAGCCAAUACUCAUCAAAACAACACUAAAACAACAGCUUAACGCAUUCAUGCCAUUACACAUGCUCAGAAACCUUCAAACUCGCAAAAACAAACACUGUUCAUAACAACAAGCCAAACUCAUCAAAAGAACACUAAAACAACAGCUUUACACAAGGAAUUACUAAUUCAACACAUUCAUGCCAUUACACAUGCUCAAAAACCUUCAAACUCGCCAAAACGAACAAUGUUCAUAACAACAAGCCAAACUCAUCAAAAGAACACUGAAACAACAGCUUAACGCAUUCAUGCCAUUACACAUGCUCAUAAAAGGUUCAAACUGGCCAAAACAAACACUUUUCAUAACAACAAGCCAAACUCAUCAAAAGAACACUAAAACAACAGCUUAACGCAUUCAUGCCAUUACACAUGCUCAAAAACUUCAAACUCGCCAAAACAAACACUUUUCAUAACAACAAGCAAAACUCAUCAAAAGAACACUAAAACAACAGCUUAACACAAGGGAUUACUAAUUCAACACAUUCAUGCCAUUACACAUGCUCAAAAACCUUCAAACUGGCCAAAACGAACAAUGUUCAUAACAACAAGCCAAACUCAUCAAAAGAACACUGAAACAACAGCUUUACGCAUUCAUGCCAUUACACAUGCUCAAAAACGUUCAAACUCGCCAAAACAAACACUUUUCAUAACAAGCCAAACUCAUCAAAAGAACACUAAAACAACAGCUUAACGCAUUCAUGCCAUUACACAUGCUCAAAAACGUUCAAACUCGCCAAAACAAACACUUUUCAUAACAACAAGCAAAACUCAUCAAAAGAACACUAAAACAACAGCUUAACACAAGGGAUUACUAAUUCAACACAUUCAUGCCAUUACACAUGCUUAAAAACGUUCAAACUCGCAAAAAAAACACUUUUCAUAACAACAAGCCAAACUCAUCAAAAGAACACUAAAACAACAGCUUAACACAAAGGAUUACUAAUUCAACACAUUCAUGCCAUUACACAUGCUCAAAAACCUUCAAACUGGCCAAAACGAACAAUGUUCAUAACAACAAGCCAAACUCAUCAAAAGAACACUAAAACAACAGCUUAACGCAUUCAUGCCAUUACACAUGCUCAAAAACGUUCAAACUCGCCAAAACAUACACUUUUGGUAACAACAAGCCAAACUCAUCAAAAGAACACUAAAACAAAAGCUUAACGCAUUCAUGCCAUUACACAUGCUCAAAAACGUUCAAACUCGCCAAAACAAACACUUUUCAUAACAACAAGCCAAACUCAUCAAAAGAACACUAAAACAACAGCUUAACGCAUUCAUGCCAUUACACAUGCUCAGAAACGUUCAAACUCGCCAAAACAAACACUUUUCAUAACAACAAGCCAAACUCAUCAAAAGAACACUAAAACAACAGCUUAACACAUUCAUGCCAUUACACAUGCAAAAAAACGUUCAAACUCGCCAAAACAAACACUUUUCAUAACAACAAGCCAAACUCAUUAAAAGAGCACUAAAACAACAGCUUAACGCAUUCAUGCCAUUACACAUGCUCAAAAACGUUCAAACUCGCCAAAACAAACACUUUUCAUAACAACAAGCCAAACUCAUCAAAAGAACACUAAAACAACGGCUUUACACAAGGGAUUACUAAUUCAACACAUUCAUGCCAUUACACAUGCUCAAAAACGUUCAAACUCGCCAAAACAAACAAUGUUCAUAACAACAAGCCAAACUCAUCAAAAGAACACUAAAACAACAGCUUAACGCAUUCAUGCCAUUACACAUGCUCAAAAACGUUCAAACUCGCCAAAACAAACAAUGCUCAUGACAAGCCAAUACUCAUCAAAACAACACUAAAACAACAGCUUAACGCAUUCAUGCCAUUACACAUGCUCAGAAACCUUCAAACUCGCAAAAACAAACACUGUUCAUAACAACAAGCCAAACUCAUCAAAAGAACACUAAAACAACAGCUUUACACAAGGAAUUACUAAUUCAACACAUUCAUGCCAUUACACAUGCUCAAAAACCUUCAAACUCGCCAAAACGAACAAUGUUCAUAACAACAAGCCAAACUCAUCAAAAGAACACUGAAACAAGAGCUUAACGCAUUCAUGCCAUUACACAUGCUCAUAAAAGGUUCAAACUGGUUAAAACAAACACUUUUCAUAACAACAAGCCAAACUCAUCAAAAGAACACUAAAACAACAGCUUAACGCAUUCAUGCCAUUAGACAUGCUCAAAAACGUUCAAACUCGCCAAAACAAACACUUUUCAUAACAACAAGCAAAACUCAUCAAAAGAACACUAAAACAACAGCUUAACACAAGGAAUUACUAAUUCAACACAUUCAUGCCAUUACACAUGCUCAAAAACCUUCAAACAGGCCAAAACGAACAAUGUUCAUAACAACAAGCCAAUCUCAUCAAAAGAACACUAAAACAACAGUUUAACGCAUUCAUGCCAUUACACAUGCUCAAAAAUGUUCAAACUCGCAAAAACAAACACUGUUCAUAACAACAAGCCAAACUCAUCAAAAGAACACUAAAACAACAGCUUUACACAAGGAAUUACUAAUUAAACACAUUCAUGCCAUUACACAUGCUCAAAAACCUUCAAACUGGCCAAAACGAACAAUGUUCAUAACAACAAGCCAAACUCAUCAAAAGAACACUGAAACAACAGCUUAACGCAUUCAUGCCAUUACACAUGCUCAAAAACGUUCAAACUCGCCAAAACAAACACUUUUCAUAACAAGCCAAACUCAUCAAAAGAACACUAAAACAACAGCUUAACGCAUUCAUGCCAUUACACAUGCUCAAAAACGUUCAAACUCGCCAAAACAAACACUUUUCAUAACAACAAGCAAAACUCAUCAAAAGAACACUAAAACAACAGCUUUAACACAAGGGAUUACUAAUUCAACACAUUCAUGCCAUUACACAUGCUCAAAAACGUUCAAACUCGCAAAAAAAACACUUUUCAUAACAACAAGCCAAACUCAUCAAAGGAACACUAAAACAACAGCUUAACACAAAGGAUUACUAAUUCAACACAUUCAUGCCAUUACACAUGCUCAAAAACCUUCAAACUGGCCAAAACGAACAAUGUUCAUAACAACAAGCCAAACUCAUCAAAAGAACACUAAAACAACAGCUUAACGCAUUCAUGCCAUUACACAUGCUCAAAAACGUUCAAACUCGCCAAAACAUACACUUUUGGUAACAACAAGCCAAACUCAUCAAAAGAACACUAAAACAAAAGCUUAACGCAUUCAUGCCAUUACACAUGCUCAAAAACGUUCAAACUCGCCAAAACAAACACUUUUCAUAACAACAAGCCAAACUCAUCAAAAGAACACUAAAACAACAGCUUAACGCAUUCAUGCCAUUACACAUGCUCAGAAACGUUCAAACUCGCCAAAACAAACACUUUUCAUAACAACAAGCCAAACUCAUCAAAAGAACACUAAAACAACAGCUUAACACAUUCAUGCCAUUACACAUGCAAAAAAACGUUCAAACUCGCCAAAACAAACACUUUUCAUAACAACAAGCCAAACUCAUUAAAAGAGCACUAAAACAACAGCUUAACGCAUUCAUGCCAUUACACAUGCUCAAAAACGUUCAAACUCGCCAAAACAAACAAUGCUCAUGACAAGCCAAUACUCAUCAAAACAACACUAAAACAACAGCUUAACGCAUUCAUGCCAUUACACAUGCUCAGAAACCUUCAAACUCGCAAAAACAAACACUGUUCAUAACAACAAGCCAAACUCAUCAAAAGAACACUAAAACAACAGCUUUACACAAGGAAUUACUAAUUCAACACAUUCAUGCCAUUACACAUGCUCAAAAACCUUCAAACUCGCCAAAACGAACAAUGUUCAUAACAACAAGCCAAACUCAUCAAAAGAACACUGAAACAAGAGCUUAACGCAUUCAUGCCAUUACACAUGCUCAUAAAAGGUUCAAACUGGUUAAAACAAACACUUUUCAUAACAACAAGCCAAACUCAUCAAAAGAACACUAAAACAACAGCUUAACGCAUUCAUGCCAUUAGACAUGCUCAAAAACGUUCAAACUCGCCAAAACAAACACUUUUCAUAACAACAAGCAAAACUCAUCAAAAGAACACUAAAACAACAGCUUAACACAAGGAAUUACUAAUUCAACACAUUCAUGCCAUUACACAUGCUCAAAAACCUUCAAACAGGCCAAAACGAACAAUGUUCAUAACAACAAGCCAAUCUCAUCAAAAGAACACUAAAACAACAGUUUAACGCAUUCAUGCCAUUACACAUGCUCAAAAAUGUUCAAACUCGCAAAAACAAACACUGUUCAUAACAACAAGCCAAACUCAUCAAAAGAACACUAAAACAACAGCUUUACACAAGGAAUUACUAAUUAAACACAUUCAUGCCAUUACACAUGCUCAAAAACCUUCAAACUGGCCAAAACGAACAAUGUUCAUAACAACAAGCCAAACUCAUCAAAAGAACACUGAAACAACAGCUUAACGCAUUCAUGCCAUUACACAUGCUCAAAAACGUUCAAACUCGCCAAAACAAACACUUUUCAUAACAAGCCAAACUCAUCAAAAGAACACUAAAACAACAGCUUAACGCAUUCAUGCCAUUACACAUGCUCAAAAACGUUCAAACUCGCCAAAACAAACACUUUUCAUAACAACAAGCAAAACUCAUCAAAAGAACACUAAAACAACAGCUUUAACACAAGGGAUUACUAAUUCAACACAUUCAUGCCAUUACACAUGCUCAAAAACCUUCAAACAGGCCAAAACGAACAAUGUUCAUAACAACAAGCCAAUCUCAUCAAAAGAACACUAAAACAACAGUUUAACGCAUUCAUGCCAUUACACAUGCUCAAAAAUGUUCAAACUCGCAAAAACAAACACUGUUCAUAACAACAAGCCAAACUCAUCAAAAGAACACUAAAACAACAGCUUUACACAAGGAAUUACUAAUUAAACACAUUCAUGCCAUUACACAUGCUCAAAAACCUUCAAACUGGCCAAAACGAACAAUGUUCAUAACAACAAGCCAAACUCAUCAAAAGAACACUGAAACAACAGCUUAACGCAUUCAUGCCAUUACACAUGCUCAAAAACGUUCAAACUCGCCAAAACAAACACUUUUCAUAACAACAAGCCAAACUCAUCAAAAGAACACUAAAACAACAGCUUAACGCAUUCAUGCCAUUACACAUGCUCAAAAACGUUCAAACUCGCCAAAACAAACACUUUUCAUAACAACAAGCAAAACUCAUCAAAAGAACACUAAAACAACAGCUUUAACACAAGGGAUUACUAAUUCAACACAUUCAUGCCAUUACACAUGCUCAAAAACGUUCAAACUCGCAAAAAAAACACUUUUCAUAACAACAAGCCAAACUCAUCAAAGGAACACUAAAACAACAGCUUAACACAAAGGAUUACUAAUUCAACACAUUCAUGCCAUUACACAUGCUCAAAAACCUUCAAACUGGCCAAAACGAACAAUGUUCAUAACAACAAGCCAAACUCAUCAAAAGAACACUAAAACAACAGCUUAACGCAUUCAUGCCAUUACACAUGCUCAAAAACGUUCAAACUCGCCAAAACAUACACUUUUGGUAACAACAAGCCAAACUCAUCAAAAGAACACUAAAACAAAAGCUUAACGCAUUCAUGCCAUUACACAUGCUCAAAAACGUUCAAACUCGCCAAAACAAACACUUUUCAUAACAACAAGCCAAACUCAUCAAAAGAACACUAAAACAACAGCUUAACGCAUUCAUGCCAUUACACAUGCUCAGAAACGUUCAAACUCGCCAAAACAAACACUUUUCAUAACAACAAGCCAAACUCAUCAAAAGAACACUAAAACAACAGCUUAACACAUUCAUGCCAUUACACAUGCAAAAAAACGUUCAAACUCGCCAAAACAAACACUUUUCAUAACAACAAGCCAAACUCAUUAAAAGAGCACUAAAACAACAGCUUAACGCAUUCAUGCCAUUACACAUGCUCAAAACGUUCAAACUCGCCAAAACAAACACUUUUCAUAACAACAAGCCAAACUCAUCAAAAGAACACUAAAACAACGGCUUUACACAAGGGAUUACUAAUUCAACACAUUCAUGCCAUUACACAUGCUCAAAAACGUUCAAACUCGCCAAAACAAACAAUGUUCAUAACAACAAGCCAAACUCAUCAAAAGAACACUAAAACAACAGCUUAACGCAUUCAUGCCAUUACACAUGCUCAAAAACGUUCAAACUCGCCAAAACAAACAAUGCUCAUGACAAGCCAAUACUCAUCAAAACAACACUAAAACAACAGCUUAACGCAUUCAUGCCAUUACACAUGCUCAGAAACCUUCAAACUCGCCAAAACAAACACUUUUCAUAACAACAAGCAAAACUCAUCAAAAGAACACUAAAACAACAGCUUAACACAAGGGAUUACUAAUUCAACACAUUCAUGCCAUUACACAUGCUCAAAAACCUUCAAACAGGCCAAAACGAACAAUGUUCAUAACAACAAGCCAAUCUCAUCAAAAGAACACUAAAACAACAGUUUAACGCAUUCAUGCCAUUACACAUGCUCAAAAAUGUUCAAACUCGCAAAAACAAACACUGUUCAUAACAACAAGCCAAACUCAUCAAAAGAACACUAAAACAACAGCUUUACACAAGGAAUUACUAAUUAAACACAUUCAUGCCAUUACACAUGCUCAAAAACCUUCAAACUGGCCAAAACGAACAAUGUUCAUAACAACAAGCCAAACUCAUCAAAAGAACACUGAAACAACAGCUUAACGCAUUCAUGCCAUUACACAUGCUCAAAAACGUUCAAACUCGCCAAAACAAACACUUUUCAUAACAAGCCAAACUCAUCAAAAGAACACUAAAACAACAGCUUAACGCAUUCAUGCCAUUACACAUGCUCAAAAACGUUCAAACUCGCCAAAACAAACACUUUUCAUAACAACAAGCAAAACUCAUCAAAAGAACACUAAAACAACAGCUUUAACACAAGGGAUUACUAAUUCAACACAUUCAUGCCAUUACACAUGCUCAAAAACGUUCAAACUCGCAAAAAAAACACUUUUCAUAACAACAAGCCAAACUCAUCAAAAGAACACUAAAACAACAGCUUAACACAAAGGAUUACUAAUUCAACACAUUCAUGCCAUUACACAUGCUCAAAAACGUUCAAACUCGCCAAAACAUACACUUUUGGUAACAACAAGCCAAACUCAUCAAAAGAACACUAAAACAAAAGCUUAACGCAUUCAUGCCAUUACACAUGCUCAAAAACGUUCAAACUCGCCAAAACAAACACUUUUCAUAACAACAAGCCAAACUCAUCAAAAGAACACUAAAACAACAGCUUAACGCAUUCAUGCCAUUACACAUGCUCAAAAACGUUCAAACUCGCCAAAACAAACACUUUUCAUAACAACAAGCCAAACUCAUCAAAAGAACACUAAAACAACAGCUUAACGCAUUCAUGCCAUUACACAUGCUCAAAACGUUCAAACUCGCCAAAACAAACACUUUUCAUAACAACAAGCCAAACUCAUCAAAAGAACACUAAAACAACAGCUUAACGCAUUCAUGCCAUUACACAUGCUCAAAAACGUUCAAACUCGCCAAAACAAACACUUUUCAUAACAACAAGCCAAACUCAUCAAAAGAACACUAAAACAACGGCUUUACACAAGGGAUUACUAAUUCAACGCAUUCAUGCCAUUACACAUGCUCAAAAACGUUCAAACUCGCCAAAACAAACACUUUUCAUAACAACAAGCCAAACUCAUCAAAAGAACACUAAAACAACGGCUUAACGCAUUCAUGCCAUUACACAUGCUCAAAAACGUUCAAACUCGCCAAAACAAACACUUUUCAGAACAACAAGCCAAACUCAUCAAAAGAACACUAAAAUAACGGCUUAACGCAUUCAUGCCAUUACACAUGCUCAGAAACGUUCAAACUCGCCAAAACAAACACUCUUCAUAACAACAAGCCAAACUCAUCAAAAGAACACUAAAACAACGGCUAAACACAAGGGAUUACUAAUUCAACACAUUCAUGCCAAUUACACUUGCUAAAAAACCUUCAAACUGGCUAAAACGAACAAUGUUCAUAACAACAAGCCAAACUCAUCAAAAGAAAACUAAAACAACAGCUUAACGCAUUCAUGCCAUUACACAUGCUCAAAAACGUUCAAACUCGCCAAAACAAACACUUUUUCGUAACAACAAGCCAAACUCAUCAAAAGAACACUAAAACAACGGCUUUACACAAGGGAUUACUAAUUCAACACAUUCAUGCCAUUACACAUGCUCAAAAACGUUCAAACUCGCCAAAACAAACACUGUUCAUAACAACAAGCCAAACUCAUCAAAAGAACACUAAAACAACAGCUUAACGCAUUCAUGCCAUUACACAUGCUCAAAAACGUUCAAACUCGCCAAAACAAACACUUUUCAUAAUUAGCCAAACUUAUCAAAAGAACACUAAAACAACUGCUUAACACAAACAUGCCUUUAAACAUGCUCAAAAACCUUCAAACUCGCCAAAACAAUCUGUUCAUAACAACAAGCCUAACUCAUCAUAAGAACACUAAAACAACAGCUUCACACAUUCAUGCCAUUACACAUACUCAAAAACCUUCAAACUCGCCAAAACAAACAAUGCUCAUGACAAGCCAAUACUCAUCAAAAGAACACUAAAACAACAGCUUAACGCAUUCAUGCCAUUACACAUGCUCAAAAACGUUCAAACUCUCCAAAACAAACACUUUUCAUAACAACAAGCCAAACUCAUCAAAAGAACACUAAAACAACAGGUUAACGCAUUCAUGCCAUUACACAAGCUCAAAAACGUUCAAACUCGCCAAAACAAACACUUUUCAUAACAACAAGCCAAACUCAUCAAAAGAACACUGAAACAACGGCUUAACGCAUUCAUGCCAUUACACAUGCUCAAAAACGUUCAAACUCGCCAAAACAAACACUUUUCAUAACAACAAGCCAAACUCAUCAAAAGAACACUAAAACAAC